AUUGAACGCUGGCGGCAUGCCUUACACAUGCAAGUCGAACGGCAGCGCGGGGCAACCUGGCGGCGAGUGGCGAACGGGUGAGUAAUAUAUCGGAACGUGCCCUGGAGUGGGGGAUAACGCAGCGAAAGUUGCGCUAAUACCGCAUACGAUCUAAGGAUGAAAGCGGGGGAUUCGCAAGAACCUCGUGCUCCUGGAGCGGCCGAUAUCUGAUUAGCUAGUGGUGGGGUAAAGGCCUACCAAGGCAUCGAUCAGUAGCUGGUCUGAGAGGACGACCAGCCACACUGGAACUGAGACACGGGUCCAGACUCCUACGGGAGGCAGCAGUGGGGAAUUUUGGACAAUGGGCGCAAGCCUGAUCCAGCAAUGCCGCGUGAGUGAAGAAGGCC
rnacentral:rRNA from 1 species